ensembl:processed_transcript
UAAUGGCGUCCAUGCUGUGGGAAAGUUCUCUGCGGGAGAAAUCCAGCGAUCUUCAUGAGGACACAUGGCACAUUACCAUUGAUGACUCUAUUGAGCCACAUAGACAGGCUCGGGACUGGUACCAAUACAUUUCUGGAUCCUUCGCAAGGUUCAGGUGUUCUCUGUGUAAAAGAGGCUGGGUGUCUAAAAGAGUGCAGGUGGUGUUUCACUUCAACCUGAACGCAGCAAAAAGAGAAGGAACCAUUAAACUGCGACGCUUCAAACAGAAGUGCAGGCGAUGCAAUGAAGCUCGAAUGGAAGAUCCCAACUUCGCUGUGGAAAACAUCGAUGUGCUGAUCGAGAGACUUGUUGAGAAGAUCCGCAUGAGAUGCUAUAGUGAAAACCUGGGAGAGAAUAACAGGCCCUCGGUGUUCAGCGGCAGAGUUAACGGCCCGCAUGAAAGCCAACACUGUGAAGCCUGUCAAUCCGGGAUCUGCAGCCAGGCCAACUGAGAACGAUUGCACCAAUACUUAAAUUUCUCGAUAAUUUAUUAAAUGAAC